AGAAUCAACGCUGGCGGCGUGCCUAACACAUGCAAGUCGCACGAGAAAGUGGAGCAAUCCAUGAGUAAAGUGGCGCACGGGUGAGUAACACGUGAAUUAUCUACCUCCGAGUGGGGAAUAACUGAGAGAAAUCUUAGCUAAUACCGCAUAACACUUACGAGUCAAAGCAGCAAUGCGCUUGAAGAGGAGUUCGCGGCAGAUUAGUUAGUUGGCGGGGUAAUGGCCCACCAAGACGAUGAUCUGUA
rnacentral:rRNA from 1 species